CGACGAGGAAGACGUGCUGGCCUCGCUGCGGGCGUCGCUCGACUGGUGCACCAACGAGGUGCGCCGCGGCUGCGGCGGGGGCGGAGGCCGGGGCUCGCUGUGGCGCCUCCAAACGUCUGAGCGGCUGGCGCGGCUGGGCAGCGCGUGCGCCAACGCCGCGGGCUCGCCUCGCUGUGGGCCUCACCUGCGCGUGCAACUGCGAGCGGCCGCAGCCCGACUGGAGGGCGAAGCCCGAGCGCUGGCCUCGCCCGCGCCGCCGAGACACCACCUCGCCGACGGCGUGGAGCAAGCGCUGAAGGAGCUCGCUCAUAUCGUUAAUAGGUAAACAGCUACCACCAACUCAUCCCAGGAGCAGAUCGCGGCGCGCAGUCGGUGCGCCUCGCGACUGGCUCGGCUCGACUCGCCGCGUCGUAACCAGCGUCAACUAUCGUAGCCAUACCUAAUGUUAUCUACGUAUGUACUACUUAGAUUAUUCUCUAUCUAAAUCUAAAAAUGUAUUUUAUUCGAAUAUUGAGUAUUACUUUCAAUUUAUUUACGAAUUUGGAAUUAUUUACAGGAAUUUUUACUGAGUAUUUUAUUUGACAUUAUUAUUUGUUGAGUUCCUUUCUAACAAUUAUUUAAUGAUAUUUCUUAUAUUUAAUACGAUUAAUGAUUUAUACAAUUCUUAUUCAGCUUUUUAAGACAUAAUUGUCUAUUUAUUAUAAUAAUAAUGUAAAUAAUGAAUACGAUUUCUUAGGUACUAAAUGUAAUUAAUCAAAUAUGACUAUUCUCACAACGAUCACAUUCCGAUAUCUGUACAUCGCCAUUGAACUUCAUAAAACAGUUGGAUCCAUUUUAAAAUUAAUCUUAGAUGUUAUAUUCCAGUUUUGAUCGAUUUAAAUAAAAUAUUUACUGUACAGAUAAAAAUAAUCGAUAAUUCGAUUGAUAUCUAAUCAACCAUAGAAAUAAACUUUAUUAUAAACGUAAAGAUAUAUUCAAAUUAAUUAUAAAACGAUUUGUACCUACAUGCAUGUAGGUACUGUAUAUAUAAGUUGAUGAUAAUGAACUAUAUCUGUAUCUAUGAAUUGAUCUUAAAUAUAAUUUGUAUGUAAGCAUUGACGCAGGUUACGACGAGUGCUACUUAUUGACGAAACUUUGGAUUUGAAAAUGAUAAAAUUAAAAUAAAAUGGAAUCGCGCGAACAGACACUUGUCUAAAGACAAUAUUGCGAUCGCACGUCUAAUUCCUAUACAGGGUAUUAAUUCCGAAGAUGUAUUUUAUAAUCGUAUGGAGAUUAGGAUGUUGCUAUUGUUAGAAAUUACCCUUCUAUUUAUAAACCGAGGGUUCACUUCUGAUAAUUAAUAUCCUGUAUACUCACGACUGACAACUCUCAGAUGCACAGCUGUGCAAGGCAACGCUAAUGUAACUUAAUAUUUUAAUCUAAAUGUCUAGGUUACUGUUAUAUUACUCGCUUCGAUCGACACGACACCAACUUGUGAUCGAUGUAUUUAUGUACUUUUAUUGUCAUCUAUAUUAUAUAGCACUAUAUUGGAUAAUCUUGAUAUUUCUAUACAUCUGCAGGUAAAGGGUUACUGACAUUCGCUUGCACUUGACUUAUCGUACGCCGGCCGCUCUGUAGGCUGAGGGUGCGCGCCGCGAUAAGCGGUCGUCACGCCACUGUAUCCAAGGCACGCAUCCUGGCCCGGCUGGCCGUGAAAACCAAAUUAAUUUAGUGUCUUGUGUACAUAAAUAGUUUUACUAAUAUGUGGUGUCUAUAUGGAAACAAUAUACUUACUUAAAAUGAUUUUUCUGAUCGACAUAGAUUUAUGAUGUAGAUGUACUAUUGAUGUAACGGUAUAUAAUACUAUAAUAUUGGGCCUGAUAUGUACUUCUGCAACGCGUUUUAAAUUCCAUUGUAAAGUAUCAAUGGUAUUUUAGUUUGUGUGAGAAUCGCAUGGAUGUAAUACGAAAUGCAUGUAAAGGAUGGAUUAUAGAAAGGUUUUAUUCGUAGUAAGGACUUGCAAGGACAGCUUUAUCGGAGGAUUGUAUGAAGAGCUAUUCGCUUGUUACCACUCUUGGCCACCAAAGAAGGCCGCUCAGCAACGGUUAGCUAUAGACUGAAAACGCGAGAUUAUUUUAUUGAUCUUUUAUUCCUAGAAAACAGUAUUUAAUUUCGAUGUUUGAUUUAUUUCUCAUAAACUCAUGUCGUGUAUUACACCAUUUUACUUCAUUCACGAGCUUUAGAUAUUCAAAAGUAUUAUUAUUUUUCACAUUAAUAUCUCGCAUUCGUCAUAAUUAACCGUUCACAUUUUCUUAACAUAGUUAUACGUGUUUAGAAUAAGUUAGUGAGUUCCGAUCACGUAGCGGGCGCAGCCGUAGUACUAGUACCCCCGAUUGUUUCCACUGAUCAGUACAUUCCCUAAGGUGUAGACGUCUUCCGCGAGGCUGCGUCCCGUGCAGCCGUAGGCUUGCGUCAUUAGUACAAACCUUCUGCAUUCACGGCCAAUGACACGCGUGUGCGAGGUAAUCAAGUCGCUGUUUGUCUGCAGAGUAAAUAAGGAAUUACCAAUUGCGUAUACGUCUCCAUGCAGUCAUGUAAAAGGAUGUUUCGCUAAUUUCACGCAGUUUAACUAUUCCAUUUUCAAUGGCACAUACAGUGUGCACGCGCGUCGUUGGCCGUGCGCGGGCCUGCUCGCCAGUACAACCCCACUCCUUGUGUACAAGUAUUAUGUAUGUAUUACGUAGUUAGGACGUCACUGCAAUCGUAUUCCUCUAUAUGUAUGAAGACUGAUGUUCAGAAACUACUUGAGAUUAAGGGCUCACGCUCGCACGAGCAUACUCCACCGCACGCCGGGCGCUCUCGCCUAGAGGCUUCGAUUAAUCGCAACUUGCUUCUGAACUCACGAGUAGAAGUAUCGUUAAUUUUCAGUGCCAAAUAAUAUUAGUAAGGUGUUUUCCGCUUGACUACCCUUACCACGGAGUAUUGCUCAGAGAAGGCUCGGAUGGAGCGAGGAUUUAGGUAAUAGGGAUACUUUGAGCCGAUUGACACAGGAGCGUUGACUCGUGCGUUGGUUCGCAAAGUAUCGUGGCUCAAGUCAUUGCGGUCCGGCUCGAGAGCGUAGUCGUAGAGUAGCCGUAGUCGGCACGCUUGCGCAGGGUAGUCGGCUCUAGGGCGACUAGUCUUCCCGAUCGCGAUCCUACUUCCACCGCACAUUCCCUCUACUUAACUUUACUAAACUUUCGGACCAAUAGGCGCUUAUUACUUGUUCACGUUCGUUUGCGCUGGCCUAUUAUUACUAUGAAUUUAUAUUAUCGUUCACUCGCGCGCCUGUUUCUUUAUUCAAAAUUAACGAUAUUAUUCGUUUAUUCGCCGCAUUAUCUUGUAUCGUACGAACAAACGUUUUUUUUUUUCACUUGAUUAUUUUAAGUUAGAGUUACUGUGAUACGGCUUUUAAAAUUUAAUAUAAUUAUUAUGCUCAAGUUUUUUUCUUUAUAUUAUUUCUUUCGAUAAAAUGUUUCGGGUAUUUUAAUGAAAAUGCUAUUAUUAUAUUACUAUCGACGACGUUCGUUUAGGUGAUUAAACCAUUCAUAUGAAAAUUAUUUAAGUAUCUGCAUUAUGCUAGUCUCUAUUAUUAUGGAUAAAUGUAUUUCGUUGUAAGAUUGAAAUAAAAAAUAUACGUAAGUUCUUCUAAAAAUAUUUUAGUAAUCAUUGUAUCGUUAAGGUAAUAUUUUGUAUUAGCUGACGAGAGCGCCCCCGAGGGCCUCGCACUCUGGAUACAGUUGCGGCGCGUUUGCGCUGGAAGGAUCGAAUUUAUCAGAAAGGGCGGGACCGGGAGUCGGCACGUGACGUACAGCGUACCUCUCAUUCCGCCAAACUAUUUCAGUAAAAUGGACUCAAUAACCUCGCCUUGACACUGGAUCGAGCGACAGAGAAUAGAAGAGUCGGUAUACAGAAACAGUUUUGCGGAAUAGAAGUCGUCCAAUGAUAGGGACUGCGUACAUGAUACUCUAAUACAGCAAUAUCGACCGGAGCGUUUGCAUAGUCGCGUCGGCUGCUACGGGUAAAAAGCGGUCCCUAAUUUCGUUUUAUUUCAUAGCUGUUACUGUUUUAUAAAAGUACUUAUUGUAAGACGCUAUAAGUAGAAAACUAAAUAAGUCUCAUAAGCUUUCAAUAUAAUAUCAAUUUUCCAAUUUACUGCUACAUUUACAUUGUUAUCUUUUCCCUGCUUAUCAGUAUUUAUGUUAUUUUCAGAAAGGCUCCAAUAUUUUUUUUAAAUACUUAACUUAGAUUGUCAUUUUGUCGACUCCAUGGUUCUCGAGCGAGUUGUGUGGGAUUGUCGAGAGCUGCGUUCAGAGUGUCUUCAAUCAUAAUAUAAUAUUGUAUGUCUAUGUAAUCUGUAUAGCAUGUAUAUUAUGAACAUGGUAGACCACUAUUUGUACAAGCAAGCUAUCUCUCCACCCUGGGUUGGUUUGAAGACGGUAUUAGCUAUUAUUUCGAGCAUUUUUUGUUCUAUUAUGUUUCCUGUAUUGUGGGAAGUAUUAGUUAUUAGUUCACCAGGACGAUGAUAUUUAUGGCAACUGUUUUAUUGACCUGUAUUAAUAUUUGAAAUCAAAUUCAAUUGAAAUCAUGAUUUUACUAAUUUAAUUUUAUACUACGUUAAUUUUGAUUGAAAUUAAUCUUAGUCAUUAAGUUAGGAAGUGCCGUAGAGAUGCAUUUAUGAAGGACUGCCAAGUUUAAGACGUUACUAACAAUCGUGGAGUUACUAUUACUAACUCACUAACAACUAGAGUAUUGGAAUUGAAUGUAUGUGGAGCGAAAAGCAUAAAUCAUAGACUGUUUACUACUCAGUAUUUAGUACUACUCGCAGUGGAGAGAUGGUUCUGGCUUCUUUAUUAUACUAAUAUAAUAGACCUUUAAGACCCUCCAUCCAAAGAUGAAAUCGUCAGGUGAGCCUUUGUCUAAGAACUUAAGCCUUAAUACGCUCAGCGGAUACCGAAUGAUAUCAAACAAUCUUGGAUUUAAAUAUACUGAUGUUUGGGUCAAAUAGAAAGAAAUGUGUAACAGUUCAAAGGCUCAGCUGGAGAAACAGUUCGGCCCGAGCGGCCCCGCAUAUACCACCCUUAUGUCCCUCGCUUGACCCACGGGCCAUGCCCGCCCACUCCUCUAUAGUAAUAAUAGAAUCCAAAGAUACACACAUGUCAAAUUGUAAUGGAAAUAAAAUGUUUCUUUAUGAAUAAAAA